GGCCCUCAGAACUGCACCUCCACCCCAUGGUUAGUCAUUCCAGACUAACUUGUUCUCUUAUUCUGAACUUGGCCUCAGCUUUCCCCCUUCACCUCUCUCUGUUGGCUGAGAGCUAUGGUCACCAUUUCAUCCUGAGAAAGGACAUUCAAUUAAGAGGAGAAUUUCAUGCCUAUAUUCAGGCUGUCUCUGAUGCCUCCUUGUGGUGUGAAGGAGACCCUGGACUCUCAAAGGCUCUGUUAGUAGAGCAGUGUCCUACUGAGGAGGAAAAGCUUUGGGUAUGGACCCUGCCUGCAAUGUGCCUGUCAUCUGCCAUCCAAAGACGAGCCUUAAUAAAUUGUGCGAGGCUUAUCACAAGAAGGUUGGCCACCAGAUACUUCUUGUGCCAGAGCCUUCAUGACCCCACGUGGGGUUUUCUUGAUAAGCCAAGCUGGAGAGGUUUGCCAUUUCCUUCUUCAGCUCAUUUUACAGAUGAGGAAACUGAGGCAGAGGAAAAGGAGAAGACAGAAAGAAGACAACAGACCUAUGAUUCCUACAGACUAAUGUAUGUUUGUGGUUGUGUAAUCAUCUUGACCAGAAAGCUUCCCUGUCCACCCCCUGGAAUUCCUGAGUCAGCCUCCCAGACCCUCCAGAUAGAGUGA
rnacentral:lncRNA from 1 species